rnacentral:rRNA from 1 species
AUUGAACGCUGGCGGCAGGCCUAACACAUGCAAGUCGAGCGGGGUUUUCGGACCUAGCGGCGGACGGGUGAGUAAUGCGUAGGAAGCUACCCGAUAGAGGGGGAUACCAGUUGGAAACGACUGUUAAUACCGCAUAAUGUCUACGGACCAAAGUGUGGGACCUUCGGGCCACAUGCUAUCGGAUGCGCCUACGUGGGAUUAGCUAGUUGGUGAGGUAAUGGCUCACCAAGGCGACGGUCUCUAGCUGGUUUGAGAGGAUGAUCAGCCACACUGGAACUGAGACACGGUCCAGACUCCUACGGGAGGCAGCAGUGGGGAAUAUUGGACAAUGGGCGCAAGCCUGAUCCAGCCAUGCCGCGUGUGUGAAGAAGGCCUUCGGGUUGUAAAGCACUUUCAGCGAGGAGGAAGGGUGGUGUGUUAAUAGCACAUCAUUUUGACGUUACUCGCAGAAGAAGCACCGGCUAACUCUGUGCCAGCAGCCGCAGUAACAC